rnacentral:misc_RNA from 1 species
GGAAAUAAAAGUCGUAACAAGGUCUCCGUAGGUGAACCUGCGGAGGGAUCAUUACAGAGUUCAUGCCCUACCGGGUAGAUCUCCCACCCUAUGUUAUUAUUACUUUGUUGCUUUGGCGGGCCGUUAGGCUCCGGCCCGACUACCGGCCCCGGCUGGUAAGCGCCCGCCAGAGGACCCAAAACCCUGAAUAUUAGUGUCGUCUGAGUACUAUAUAAUAGUUAAAACUUUCAACAACGGAUCUCUUGGUUCUG